rnacentral:rRNA from 1 species
AUUGAACGCUGGCGGCAGGCCUAACACAUGCAAGUCGAGCGGAUGAGUGGAGCUUGCUCCAUGAUUCAGCGGCGGACGGGUGAGUAAUGCCUAGGAAUCUGCCUGGUAGUGGGGGACAACGUUUCGAAAGGAACGCUAAUACCGCAUACGUCCUACGGGAGAAAGUGGGGGAUCUUCGGACCUCACGCUAUCAGAUGAGCCUAGGUCGGAUUAGCUAGUUGGUGAGGUAAAGGCUCACCAAGGCGACGAUCCGUAACUGGUCUGAGAGGAUGAUCAGUCACACUGGAACUGAGACACGGUCCAGACUCCUACGGGAGGCAGCAGUGGGGAAUAUUGGACAAUGGGCGAAAGCCUGAUCCAGCCAUGCCGCGUGUGUGAAGAAGGUCUUCGGAUUGUAAAGCACUUUAAGUUGGGAGGAAGGGCAGUAAGUUAAUACCUUGCUGUUUUGACGUUACCGACAGAAUAAGCACCGGCUAACUCUGUGCCAGCCGCCGCCGUAAGAC